UACGGGGGGGCAAGCGUUGUUCGGAAUUACUGGGCGUAAAGGGCUCGUAGGUGGCCAACUAAGUCAGACGUGAAAUCCCUCGGCUUAACCGGGGAACUGCGUCUGAUACUGGAUGGCUUGAGUUUGGGAGAGGGAUGCGGAAUUCCAGGUGUAGCGGUGAAAUGCGUAGAUAUCUGGAGGAACACCGGUGGCGAAGGCGGCGUCCUGGACCAACACUGACACUGAGGAGCGAAGGCCAGGGGAGCAAACGGG
rnacentral:rRNA from 1 species